CCUUUUUCUUUAAGACACAUGGCACACACGCACUAGCCUAUUCUCUUCUUCUUAUUUUUUCCUUCAUUUUAUGAAAAAUAGUUUCAAUUUUGCUGCGCGAAAUCCGACACACGCCCACUCAGGUACGAACCAGUCCCAGUCCGCAAACCCUCCUUUGCCAACAGAUUAGCCACAAUGUAGCCUUUACGAGGUACAUGCCGAAACUCACAUCGCCGAAACAGCCCCGCCCACCAUUUAAUAUCUUGAAUAUUGGCGCCGAGGAUAGAGGAAUCAAACAGAGGGGAUUGGCCUUUAUGAAUCACCGUGAGGGCAUCCCCUUCAACAAUAACAUCCGGAAAUCCGAGAGCCUGGCCUAGAUGUACCGCCUGAAGGCAUGCAAGGGCCUCCCCAGCAAAGGCCGAAGGAUCUCCUGGAUGGAGCAUGAAACGGCGCGUCAAAAUUGAUUUUCAGACAACAGCCAUCCGGAGGCCUCCAGCUCUCAACCUCAAUCAGACGCCCCGGCAGCUUCAAUCGAACCACAUCUACUUCCAAUAAGUAGGCCUCAACCGUCUGAAAGUAAUACAUGCGUUUGAAUAAUUUCAUUUUCGUGGACACGACGAUUCCGUGCAUACCAAAUAAACCAGAAAGCACACACAACUUUCCUGUUUCCUGAGAAUGGUGCAAGGGUGAACCUGGGAGAUGUAAUAUAGCCAGUCCUGUAAACAUGUACCUGAGAUCUCACUAGGCCAGGUGAUUUGUAGGUCAACCCAGAUACCAGCCACAGAGGAACAAUCACAGAAGAUGUGUUCAAGGGUUUCAGUUGCAGCCAAGCACCGAGGCAACGCGCAUCAGAUCGCAGCCGUCUGUUGUAGAGAUUAGAGAAACUAGUGAUAAAAUUGUUAAAGAUUCUCCAAGUUGUAAUUUGUAUCUUUGCCAUUAAAUGUAAUGUCCAUAAUCUUUUAUAAAA